rnacentral:lncRNA from 1 species
GAGUUUGGUUCUCCCUUCUUUGUCAAUUCCCCUGUCUCCUGAAUGUCUCAUUCUCAAACUAAUUUUGCUUGAAAUUGUGGCUGGAGAUGGUAUGUUUGAAACUUAAUAUGAUGAACAUAGAACAGGAAGAUUUCAACACCUUUUUAGCAAAAGAUGUUCACAUAAACCUGAAAUGAAUAUAGCCAAAGAGGACGUGGUCUUUCAGCACCUCCAGCUAAAAAAUGCUGCAGAGGAACUUCCUGUAUUAAGUACAGAUGGGGUUUCACCAUGUUCGCCAGGAUGGUCUCGAUCUCCUGACCUCGUGAUCUGUCCACCUCUGCCUCCCAAAGUGCUGAGAUUACAGGUGUGAGCCACCACUCCCAGCCUUUGUCAUCAUUUCAGAUAGGGUGAAGGAAUGGUUUAAGUCGCCUCCAAGGUAUCUUGUUGGGGGUGAGGGGUACAGAGGGGUCUUACUGAAUGGUGAUGAAAAAGGGGACACAAGCGAAAAAUCAACAUUGGAGAAAAGAUAACUAAACCCUGGGAAGCUUAAGGAACAAAGUGUAACAAAACAACAUGGAUUGUUUUAUAAAAUACUUUGAGAUAUCCAGGAUUAAAAGUAUGAUAAAAAAUAA